rnacentral:rRNA from 1 species
AGAGUUUGAUUAUGGCUCAGAACGAACGCUGGCGGCAUGCCUCAUACAUGCAAGUCGAACGAAAUCUUCGGAUUUAGUGGCGCACGGGUGAGUAACAUGUGGGAAUCUACCUAAAGGUUCGGAAUAACUGCGGGAAACUGUAGCUAAUACCGGAUGUGUCUGCAAAGAGAAAGAUUUAUCGCCUUUAGAUGAGCCCGCACUAGAUUAGCUAGUUGGUGAGGUAAUUGCUCCACCAAGGCUACGAUCUAUAGCUGAUUUGAGAGGAUGAUCAGCCACACUGGGACUGAGACACGGCCCAGACUCCUACGGGAGGCAGCAGUAGGGAAUAUUGGACAAUGGGGGAAACCCUGAUCCAGCAAUGCCGCGUGAGUGAAGAAGGCCCUCGGGUUGUAAAACUCUUUCAUCAAUGAUGAUAAUGACAUUAGUUGAAGAAGAAGCUCCGGCUAACUUCGUGCCAGCAGCCGCGGUAAUACGAAGGGGGCUAGCGUUGUUCGGAAUCACUGGGCGUAAAGCGUAUGUAGGCGGAUCAAAAAGUUAGAUGUGAAAUCCCUGGGCUCAACCCAGGAACUGCAUUUAAAACUAGUGAUCUAGAAAUUGGUAAAGGUUAGUAGAAUUUCCAGUGUAGAGGUGAAAUUCGUAGAUAUUGGAAAGAAUACCAGAAGCGAAGGCGACUAACUAGGCCAUUUUUGACGCUGAGAUACGAAAGCGUGGGUAGCAAACAGGAUUAGAUACCCUGGUAGUCCACGCA